UAGCCGGUCUGAGAGGAUGUACGGCCACACUGGGACUGAGAUACGGCCCAGACUCCUACGGGAGGCAGCAGUGGGGAAUAUUGCGCAAUGGGGGAAACCCUGACGCAGCGACGCCGCGUGGAUGAUGAAGGCCUUUGGGUUGUAAAAUCCUGUUCUGGGGGAAGAAACCUUAAGGGUCCAAUAAACCCUUAAGCUGACGGUACCCCAAGAGAAAGCUCCGGCUAAUUAUGUGCCAGCAGCCGCGGUAAUACAUAAGGAGCAAGCGUUAUCCGGAAUUAUUGGGCGUAAAGAGCUCGUAGGCGGUCUUAAAAGUCAGGUGUGAAAUUAUCAGGCUCAACCUGAUAAGGUCAUCUGAAACUUUAAGACUUGAGGAUAGAAGAGGAAAGUGGAAUUCCCGGU
rnacentral:rRNA from 1 species